GCAUUGGUGGUUCAGUGGUAGAAUUCUCGCC
rnacentral:piRNA from 12 species